GGCACAAUAAAGACUUGUGCUCACAAGCUCCUGUGUCCAGGCGCUCUGUUGAAUAAUGAACUACUGCUCGACGAGGCAGUGGCCAGAGAUGUCUGAAGACCUGGGAAAAGUUUAGCAUGCAACGAGGUCCAGUUCAUGUCCAGGGUGACUCAGAUGACAUCUCUACAUGGAGGAAGUUAAAAAGAAGAUGGUAUCUUUCCAUGCAAAGGAUGACAAGGAGCUACUUCCAGUAAAAUUAUGAGGACGUGUAAUCAAAGUGCGUCAGAGAGACUGUGGGGCAUUUAUAGACAUUCUGUAGCCAGUUCCAUCUGGCUAAGCACAUGUUAAAUAGUAGAGACUUUGAUGUGAUUGUGGUACAUCAUACCCAGUAAUAACCACAUUUUAACAAUGGUUAACUGAAAUAUUUAGCUACUCUAAUCAAUACAACGACUCAAGACAAUUCCAAAGGACCCAUGAUGAAAAAUGACAUUCACCUCCAGAGAGAGAGAACUGAUUAACACUGAAUACAAAUUGAAGCAUAAUUUUUCACUUUCUUUAUUUCUUGCCUUCUUUGUAGCAUGGCUAAUAUGAAACCAUGUUUUACAUGAUUUCACAUGUAUAAUUGAGAUCAUAUUGCUUGCCUUCUCAGUUGGGGAGGGGGGGUAUUUGAAGAAAGGGAAUUUGAAACUCAAAAUUUUGUGAAAUAAAUGUUAAAAUUAAUUAACA